CCCCGAUUACGCACAUUUGUGGUUUUGACAAAGGAGCUAGUGUCUGUAUGGGGAAGAAGGUUGAAGGUCAUCGGCUGACCUCAUUGACAUUAGGAUUAAACGACAACUGAUUUCUGAAACAACCGGAAUAGGAAAAUGCAUAAGGGGAAGAUUGACGAGAUCGAUCAGCAUUUCUCCAGUUUUCAAGGCUAUAAGUCCCCCCAGUACUGCACGGAGACGUGGUACCAGGUGAGCGUGGACACGAGUCCAGCUGUGACGCCCAGCAGCAUCCAGUCUGAUGGUAUACAGGAGGAUGUGCUGAUCACGCCAAUCAUACAGAUUGUGCCAAUCGGGCCAAUCACGCAGUACGUCACCUGCCCCAAUGGACAACAGUCUGUUCAGACCAGCUGCACUCCUAUGCCUUAUGUCCACGGCCCGGCCCCCUACUGUGAGAAAGACACACCCCCUCCAGACCCUGGCCCCGCCCACCCGGAGCUCAUGUCUGUCCCAGGCAUGGACUACAGCAUGAUUCUAAACUCUGCUCCCUACUGUGAGGAAGACACGCCCCCUCCAGACCCUGGCCCCGUCCACCCGGAGCUCAUAAGCCCCGCCCCCUACUGUAAUGUAGCAUUGCAUCAGUGUCUCAGCAGUGGAUGCUCAGCAGUGAAUGGGUGCCGUCAGAAUGAGAGUCCAAACAGCUGAUAAAAACAUCACAAUAAUCCACAGCACUCCAGCCCAUCCAGUCCAGUAAGACUAAAGAUGAAACAAAUCCAGCAUUUAACUUCAAACGAUGGUCUGAGGACGAGCACAUUUUCAGCUUUUGGGUGAACUAUUCCUUUAAAAUGAUGUCAAACAAAAACAGAUUAAAUUUGAUUGAAGAUCACAAUGAUAUAAAUGUUAUAUUUUUGACUAACAUGCGUGAAGAAUUGUACAAAGGCCAUUUUUCACGGUUCACAUGAAAUGUUGCUAAAUAUUUUGAGAAAAAAGGUCGGGAAGUCAAUCUGGAUUAGUAAACACUUAUGAACAUUAUGAUAUUAAACACACAGGGCUUAUGACAAACCCACACAGCGGCCCAAUAUGUUCAACGAUUCGACGGAGCGAUCAAUGUAAUGAAAACACAAGCAAACGCUGCAGGCUGUUACCGAACCCAAGUUUAAUCUGCACACAGUUCAAUGUUAUAACCAAUCCCAACUGAGCAGGCGACCCAUGGACGAGGUGAAUGAAGCUCUGUGCUUGUAGUAGGUUAAAGAGAACAUGUUAGCAUAUCCUUAACACUUACAGCUGCAGCGAUGGAGACAGUGUAAACUAAUUAGGCUUAAUGUAUGUCACAGCACUGACACUAAACACACACACACACACACACACACACACACACACA
ensembl:lncRNA